rnacentral:lncRNA from 1 species
UCUGACACUUGAGAUUCCAGGUACCAACUUGCUUUUCAGAGGACUCGUGACCUCGCGCUAGUCGUGGCAAUACAUACAAACAUGGUAUAGGCAGAAUUAACAUCACACCAAACAUAAGAUCAAAAUAUAUAUUAAUAAUCUACAUAUUAAAAUAAGAUCAUAUGAAUUGGAAUCGUUAAAUUUGAAGUUAUAGAUUUUAAGUUAUGAAUUUCUAAAGGUUUUAUGUGUUUUUUACAAGAUUAAAUAGGAUACAAAUUUUAUUGUGAUAUUCAUGUCAAAACAGUGGUACUAAAUGAUAAAAAAUAAUAUUACAAAAUUAUAGGAAUUGGAAUGGAUUAAUUUGGACUUAAAAUGAAUUAAAUAUGAAUUUUCCAAGUUUCUAGAAUUAUUUUUGUAUUAAAAACCCAUUUCUAUAUCUAUUUCUCUAUUUUUAUUCUUCUCUGGACUGGGCGCACAAAAACUAGAAAAUGCAGGGGCUUCUUGCGGAAAAAUUCUCAAGACUCAGACUAUUCUGAGUUGGAUGGCGGGUUGAAUACUGGAAACUCGGGGUUUCUUUUGUAAAAUCUACGCAGCGAAGGGGUACGCGGCCAUCUGAACCACCCGAUCACUGAUCAAGGGCCCAGAUUAGAUUGCACAUCCCCGUGAACCGGUACGGCACAUGGGCCGAUGGAUCAGAGAUCUACGCCUGAUAUCUAUCCACGCCACUUAUCAGAUCAGGGCCCCCAGAUCCGCGAUCGACGGUCUAGAGUGAAGCAUCGAACCGGUAUGCGUAGAUUUAAUCUCGCGCUUCUAUUCCAAUCGGACGGACUAUAUAUAAUCUGAAAUCGCUCUAACCUUAGUCGCUGGCCCAAAAUCCAAUGGCUAGGUGCCUAUCUUCUUUCCCCAUGCCAUUCUGCCGCCCAUCCGACAGACGGCGCGACCCCAUUCACGGCAGAGGCAUCACCGGGGUUCAACAAUCCCACGACUAGGCACCCAAAAUCAUAGCUAAUCCCGAGAUUUACAAAGAGGGGGAACAAGCGAGCCUGCUGGCGACAUUCUCACCGGCAAUCGGGUGGCACAGAGACCGGACCACGGCGAGGCGCGGGUGUGAGGCCGAUGCACACACCGACGAGCGAUUUCGGUUGCCUUUCUCCCUUGGUGAGACCCCAAGCACGCGCAGAGCUUCCCAGGGAAACCCACAUGACCCGCUCGAGGUUCCCAUGUUGCCGUAGCCACAAAUCACUGACAGCGACCACCUCUGCCCAGUUCUUGCAACCACGGCGGCCCUCGGCUUCCACUCACUCUCUCUCUCUCCGCUCUCUCCCUCAUAGUUCUGUUCGGCCACCGAUGUAGACUCUCCUGAAGCUGGGUGUGGGACAGAUUUGAGGAGAGGAACGCGCAGCGAAGCUCCUUAUAAGGUCACGGGCGAUAGAGCCGCGCCAGAUCGAAUCCCCAAUGAUGCGGUCAAAUUAGUUGCGAUUCUCUCAAUGUCGCGGCAAUGGUUU